UACGAAGGGGGCUAGCGUUGCUCGGAUUGACUGGGCGUAAAGGGCGCGUAGGCGGUUCGUACAGUCAGACGUGAAAUUCCUGGGCUCAACUUGGGGGCUGCGUUUGAUACGUGCGGGCUUGAGUGCGGAAGAGGGUCGUGGAAUUCUCAGUGUAGAGGUGAAAUUCGUAGAUAUUGGGAAGAACACUGGUGGCGAAGGCGGCGACCUGGUCCGAUACUGACGCUGAGGCGCGAAAGCGUGGGGAGCAAACAGG
rnacentral:rRNA from 1 species